GUGCACGCUGGCGGUAGGCCUAACACCUGCAAGUCGAACGGCAGCACAGUAAGAGCUUGCUCUUACGGGUGGCGAGUGGCGGACGGGUGAGGAAUACAUCGGAAUCUACUUUUUCGUGGGGGAUAACGUAGGGAAACUUACGCUAAUACCGCAUACGACCUACGGGUGAAAGCAGGGGAUCUUCGGACCUUGCGCGAUUGAAUGAGCCGAUGUCGGAUUAGCUAGUUGGCGGGGUAAAGGCCCACCAAGGCGACGAUCCGUAGCUGGUCUGAGGGGAUGAUCAGCCACACUGGAACUGAGACACGGUCCAGACUCCUACGGGAGGCAGCAGUGGGGAAUAUUGGACAAUGGGCGCAAGCCUGAUCCAGCCAUACCGCGUGGGUGAAGAAGGCCUUCGGGUUGUAAAGCCCUUUUGUUGGGAAAGAAAAGCAGCAGGUUAAUACCCCGCUGUUCUGACGGUACCCAAAGAAUAAGCACCGGCUAACUUCGUG
rnacentral:rRNA from 1 species